UAGUUUCUUAGUCAUGGUACAUAAGCAAUUCCUCUUUAAAAUGAAUAACAUUAUUUUUUUCCUGUAUAGAGUGGACAAAGGCAACAAAGCAGCGGUGCUACUUACAUUCAGGGUGGGCCAACCUACACUAUCAGCAGCGGUUCUUACGGACAGGGCUCCCGAGGCAGCCAGACCUAUGGUCAGAUCUCUCAGCUUCAACCUGGCAGUUCUUAUGGCCAGGUCUUCCAGCCACAAGGAGGUGCUUCCUAUGGCCAGGGUGGGCCAACCUACACUAUCAGCAGCGGUUCUUACGGACAGGGUUCCCGAGGCAGCCAGACCUAUGGUCAGGUCUAUCAGCCACAAGGUGGCACUUCCUAUGGCCAGCAGAGUGGAUUUUCUUCUUCAGGUGGCAGUGGAGGUUGUGGACAAGAGGGCAGCAACCAGAGUAGAACACAUUGUACUGCUUCACAUCUUGCUAUUCCAAGAAGGAUCCAUGCAGCCGAAACAUACCGAAACAGGGAAAUGAAAGGCAGUAGCAGAAGAUCUGUGAUGAGCGAAUCUAGAAAGAUUCUGGGGUAGGUGGUCACACAGCAGUGAUUGUUGGCUCUUUAACGGAUUACCCAAUGUAAUCUUUAAUGUUAAUAUUUGCCAAUCAAGAAGAACUUAGAUAAAUUAAUAGAAGCGUCAGUUGCAAAACUACCUCACUUUUCCACACUGCAACCAAAUAAUCCUGCUUUCAUUAUCUGUAUUUUGAUGCUUAUAAGUAGGUGGAUAUGGAAUAGAAAGAG
ensembl:lncRNA